ACUUGGCCUUGGACACGUGUCACCACGUCACCAUUGCUGAGCCUUGCUAUUUCCUUUUAGAUCGUGCUUGUGUCACACCUGUGAAACAAGGAACAGAGGAGGAGCCCUGGUGAAUGCUUGCUGUGUCCUCUUAGGGGUUUCUGGUAGCAGUCCACAGACAAAGGAGAUGCUGCAGUGUCACCCUAAAUGGAUAUUGAAACACUUAUUUCAGCCUCCAUCUCGAAGGAGGUUGAGAAGUUUGAUGCUAUGAGGGCUUAUGUUCUUCCAAAACAGCCUCCUGCUCCGGGGUUAACUGAUGGAGAAUAUUCAGGGCUGAGCUUCAGGAGGAGAUAACAACUUGUGGUGGACUCCAACCUUUCCCCAGAGCAGCUUGUGCCCAGGUGAAUUGAAUCCUGUCCUUUGGGAGUAAACCCAGGUUCUCCUGCACAGGACACUGCACACGUGCACCCAGAACCAGGUGGGCCAUGGCACACCCCUGCUGCAGACAUGCACAUCCCUCUGGAAAGCACCUGCAGGUGAGGGCUGCAGUGCUGGGGCUGGCACCAUCAGCCCUGCCAGCUCCCACCUGAACUCUGCAGGCCCAGCCUUCUCCCACUACUGUGUUUUUGAUGUAUCCUUUCAUUUACCUGCAAGAUAUGAUUUUAAAUGAUUUCCCAUUGCUGCUAACAGAAACUUUUUGUUAAUUUCAAUGGAAAAGAAUUCCUCUCUUUUAGGGGAACUGAAGUGUGCCAGCUGACUGCUCCUGGCCCCAUCAGCAUUGUCUCCUCUCCUAAAUGCAAGGACGGUGAUUCCUGCCCGGACGGUGCCCCCACACAGCACCACACUGGCCUUGCUGCUGAUUGUCUCCUGGAUGCCAAGAACCAUCUCCUACUGCCAGGCUGGGCAAUGUCCUGUUCAGAGCUGCUGCCCUGGGUGGGCUCCAUGGCAGCAGUGCUGACCUGCACUUAAGGAAGAGUCAUGCCCAGUGCACGGGAUGUUUGGUACAAGCUUCAGCUGGCUCCUGCCCAUGGGCAGGUGCAGCACAGUCAUGCUGGUGGAGAGGCUUCUCCCAGGCCAGCAUCAGCCCCUUGGCCAGAGAGAGCAGGGUUGUGCUGGGGAAGGAGUGACCUGUGCUCCUGUAAACUGAAACAGGGAACUGAAAUGCCACGUGCCUGCCACAGAAUUUUUCCAGGGCACAGCCGAGCCAUGUGUAGUGCUUCAGCCCUCUUGUCCAGAGCUCUGAGGGCUGUUGGUCUGAGUGCAUGAAAGAUCAAGAAUUUGUCUCUGGGGCCUUUUGUAACAGCACCAUGGCCUUCUCCUCCCCUCCUUGUACACCUCAUCCUCACAUUUGUGUGCUCAGUUUUGCUUGGAGGGGAAAAAGAACCUCUGUGGACCAGGGGAAGGUCUUUGAUAGAGGAAGAUGAGUCCAUGAAAAGCAAGUAGCCAGAUGUGUCCAUGGGGUAGUAUCACAAAUUGCUUUUCUUCCCUCAAGCAUUCUUCCCUCCUAGGCCCUGGCCAAAGGGCACCACCACUGCUUGCAGCACGAGGUCUGGACAUUUUCUGUAAAGUUGUCUGCCUUCAUUGUUCUUAACACGUGUGGGCAGAUGCAAAGUGCUCUGGGACUGCCAUGAAGUGCUGUGGAAGUGCAGAGGUCGAUGAAUAUGUUCCCGUUUUAGCUUUUGUUGAGCAGAAAGUGGCUUGUUUGGGCAUGGUCAUGCCAUGGAGCAGUGGUAGAGCUGGGAGGACCCAGCCUAGGUCAUUCAAUCCUAGCAGCCUGUGUCUUCUGGAUGUUGAAGACAGAAGAAGGGAUGCUGCUGAGUGCUUUUCUGCUGAGUGCAGGUGGUGAAGAGUUGAAAGGCACCAGCUCUGCUUGCUGACAGCUCCUGCUCAACAGGGUGUUUGGCAUUUCUGUGGAGCAGCCCCAGAUGGACAUGGAGCAGUGCUGGUGGUGCAUGGAAAAAACCUUCCCUGUGCUCAGGGAGGGGCACCAGGGUGACUCCUGCAGCUCAUUGUGUAGAAGGGAGAGACCUGUAGUUAUUUCUCCUUGACUGAUCUCUGAUUUGGCACUGAUCAUUAACAUGGUUUUGUGUAUUGGAGAGUCACUCUGAGGGUGAUUCGCCCUACUUCAGCCUCCCUCCAGCCUUCCUGCCGCCCACAGUGUGCAGCCCCCUGGGCAGAGCUGCGCUUGGGCAGAGCCUCAGUGAGGGCCACGGAGCCUGGGAGUGGAUGUGGCAGCUCUGCCAAUGGACAAGAGCUGGGAGUGAGCAGCUUGGCCACGCUGCCCGCUCUGCCAGCGGCCUCAGUGUCCCUGUGGUGUGAGCCCAGCCAGCGUGGCCUCGGGGCUUCUCCUGAGGCAGCGCUGGUAUAAUAACACUGAUGAAAAGCUGAUUAAUCCUUGUGAACGAGCCGCAAUAGCUUCCCUCUAGAACUGAAGAGAUUACCACUGAUUUGUCAUUCUGAUUGUUUCAAAGAGACGUGCAAUUAGUUGCUCUAAUUUAGCCGUGCUCGCGGAGCGGCGUGACAAGGGCGCUGUAAUCAGUGGGGCUGCGAUGGCAGCCACUGGUGGUGCAGCUGUGCCGACACCAUUUCACGUGCUGAGGGCGGCCGCCAAAAUGGUGGAGCAUCACGUGCUCCUGUUCUGUUGUGGUGCAAAACCAAGACGUUUUCGAAGGACUGGGUCCCCUCAGUGCUGUGUGGCACUGGAGCAGCGGGACAGGCCUGGCUCUGAGCUGUGCUGGUGGAGCUGGAGCUCAGGGGCUGCUGGGCCGUGUCUGAUCAGGGCUCGUCUCGGUGCUGGUUGUUCUUGGGAAGACAGGGGGAGAGCAAUGAGUGCUGGCCUAAAACCCCCAUGAGGUGAUGGGCUGUGUUGGAUGGUGGGCGUGACAUUAUAGUCAUAGUUUGAUUAUAAAGUAGAAAGUCAUAAGGAAAUCUUGUUUUUUUAUUCUGCUCCCUCCAGCUCUUGGCCCUCUUUGCCAGGUGCAGUAAAACCAGUCCCAGGUACAGAAGAGAGGGGUGUAUUUGCUUAAGGUUACCCCUUUCUGAGGACUGUCUGUGCUUUGGAAAAGGUACAAAGCUGCCACAGAAAAUGAGGAGCUUGUGGCUCAGCCCCCCAGCUCGCUGCGCUGGGUCAGCAGCCAACCCCCUCUGGGCAGAGAGGAGGGAACACAUGGGAUUUCAAAAUGUGUCCGUUUUCAGUGAGACAAAUCACUUAAAAAUUCAAUUCAAAAUGAAGAAAAUAAAAACGCUUUAAAAACAAAA